ensembl:processed_transcript Gm20528 predicted gene 20528
UAAAUGUGCUGAAUGUAUAAUGUAUGGUGAAUUAUUUCCCUAAUAAAAACAACAUGGAUUUAACACUUGUUUCCAAGUUUCAACUGAUCAGAUAAUAGACUAAUACUCCUUCACUUCCCCUCAAUUCUCAAUGGGUCUUGGAUUUGUGUGAUUUCUUCACUCGCCCCUUUCCCCCAAAGCAUUUCCGGCAGCCAUAGGCACAACAUUUAAAGACAAUGAAGACCAUUGUCAACACAAUGGCCAGGAGGAAGCCAAUCACAUCCAAGGAGUGGUACUGGGCCACAAUGGCGCCACAGGGAAGGAAAGGGUCUGUCAGCAGAGCAUCAAAGUGACUUUCUUCCAGAGAGGCCAUAAACUCAGCAUUGUGCAGCAGAUGGGAGCAGCCAGACAGGAGCAUACUGGAAUCCCUUUUGACUUUCAUAUAUAUUUUGACCACGCGAAGCAGAAAAGGAUCUUGAUGAAAGGCAGUCCGCCCAAGUUCCACCAAAGUAGCUGUCACAUUUUCCUUCUGGAAUGGCACAGGGUACUUCCUCAGAGUGUAAAAUGAUCCUUCUUUUAUGUGUAUCGAGGCUUCAGGUGCUAUGACCACAACUUCGUGCCCCUUCUGCUGGAGCUGCUGUAUAACUCCAAGCAUACUCAGCCAGUGGCUGCCAUCCAUAGGGAACACUAACAGCUUCCCAGCGUGGGAUGCAGGGGGACCGAACACACACAACAGAAGGUACGGAAGAAGCAAAAGCAAACGCGAGCUCCAGCACACCACAGUCAUGGUACCUCUCUCUCUGCUGCUGCCAGAGAUC